rnacentral:rRNA from 1 species
UUAUGGCUCAGGAUUAACGCUGGCGGCGUGCCUAACACAUGCAAGUCGAACGAAAUAUCUUCGGAUAUUUAGUGGCGAACGGGUGAGUAAUGUACAGGUAAUGUACCUUCGUACUGCGAAUAACAAGCUGAAAAGUUUGCUAAUACGGAAUAGUUUCAUUAGGGGGCAUCCUUUGAUGAAUAAAGAUUUAUCGUGCGGAGAUCAGCCUGUAUCCUAUUAGUUAGUUGGUGGGGUAAUGGCCUACCAAGACGACGAUGGGUAACUGGUCUGAGAGGAUGAGCAGUCACAUUGGAACUGAGAUACGGUCCAAACUCCUACGGGAGGCAGCAGUGAGGAAUUUUGCGCAAUGGGGGAAACCCUGAACCGCAGCAACGCCGCGUGAGUGAAGACGGCCUUCGGGUUGUAAAGCUCUGUCGUGUAUGACGAGUAGGGACGGUAAUACACAAGGAAGCCUCGGCUAACUACGUGCCAGCCGCCGC